AGCCGAUCCCGGGCGCAGCCAGCUGAGUGCAGCGUGGGGAGCACGAGAGGCUCAGGCAGCGGUGGCGGCGGCGUCCCGGCGAUGCUGCGGCACUCUUCGAGCGCAGGAGCCCCGGCCUCUUCCUAAGGAGAAAGUUUGAUGCUGAGACUCCAGGAGCCAGACUGGCGUCCCCAAGGCCCGCGCCUUUAAUAGAGGCAGCUCCCCUGCCUGCCGGGUGCCUGUGCCCUGCAUGUGGGCAUGCAGGAACCCAUGCCGCUUUCUAAUCAGAGCAGCAUUCCUGACACAGCUGUUCUUCAGGAAGUUCAUCUGUAGGAACCCCCUUGGGAAUAACUAUGACUUUUGCUUGAAAGUAGUGCAUCAAGUAGUCAAUGUCCCCAUGUUCUCUCCUCCUAGAAUGGGCUCUACCAAGGUCUGUACUCUCAGAGCUUAAAAAAAUGUGUCUAUCUACCUUACCUUCUAAUUAAAGCCCCCAAUCACUAGAAUGUC